rnacentral:rRNA from 1 species
GGGUUGUGAGGUUAAGCGACUAAGCGUACACGGUGGAUGCCCUGGCAGUCAGAGGCGAUGAAGGACGUGCUAAUCUGCGAUAAGCGCCGGUAAGGUGAUAUGAACCGUUAUAACCGGCGAUUUCCGAAUGGGGAAACCCAGUGUGACUCGUCACACUAUCAUUAACUGAAUCCAUAGGUUAAUGAGGCGAACCGGGGGAACUGAAACAUCUAAGUACCCCGAGGAAAAGAAAUCAACCGAGAUUCCCCCAGUAGCGGCGAGCGAACGGGGAGGAGCCCAGAGCCUGAAUCAGCAUGUGUGUUAGUGGAAGCGUCUGGAAAGGCGCGCGAUACAGGGUGACAGCCCCGUACACAAAAGCGCAUGUGCUGUGAGCUCGAUGAGUAGGGCGGGACACGUGGUAUCCUGUCUGAAUAUGGGGGGACCAUCCUCCAAGGCUAAAUACUCCUGACUGACCGAUAGUGAACCAGUACCGUGAGGGAAAGGCGAAAAGAACCCCGGCGAGGGGAGUGAAAAAGAACCUGAAACCGUGUACGUACAAGCAGUGGGAGCACCCUUCGGGGUGUGACUGCGUACCUUUUGUAUAAUGGGUCAGCGACUUAUAUUCUGUAGCAAGGUUAACCGUAUAGGGGAGCCGGAGGGAAACCGAGUCUUAAUUGGGCGUUAAGUUGCAGGGUAUAGACCCGAAACCCGGUGAUCUAGCCAUGGGCAGGUUGAAGGUUGGGUAACACUAACUGGAGGACCGAACCGACUAAUGUUGAAAAAUUAGCGGAUGACCUGUGGCUGGGGGUGAAAGGCCAAUCAAACCGGGAGAUAGCUGGUUCUCCCCGAAAGCUAUUUAGGUAGCGCCUCGUGAAUUCAUCUCCGGGGGUAGAGCACUGUUUCGGCUAGGGGGCCAUCCCGGCUUACCAACCCGAUGCAAACUGCGAAUACCGGAGAAUGUUAUCACGGGAGACACACGGCGGGUGCUAACGUCCGUCGUGAAGAGGGAAACAACCCAGACCGCCAGCUAAGGUCCCAAAGUCAUGGUUAAGUGGGAAACGAUGUGGGAAGGCCCAGACAGCCAGGAUGUUGGCUUAGAAGCAGCCAUCAUUUAAAGAAAGCGUAAUAGCUCACUGGUCGAGUCGGCCUGCGCGGAAGAUGUAACGGGGCUAAACCAUGCACCGAAGCUGCGGCAGCGAACGUAUCACCCAAGACAACUUUACGGAGUUGACGAUUGACGGAGCGAAGCGACGUCAAAGCGUUCAUUAAAGUCGAGUUGGCUUAGGGAUACGUUCGUUGGGUAGGGGAGCGUUCUGUAAGCCUGUGAAGGUGUGUCGUGAGGCAUGCUGGAGGUAUCAGAAGUGCGAAUGCUGACAUAAGUAACGAUAAAGCGGGUGAAAAGCCCGCUCGCCGGAAGACCAAGGGUUCCUGUCCAACGUUAAUCGGGGCAGGGUGAGUCGACCCCUAAGGCGAGGCCGAAAGGCGUAGUCGAUGGGAAACGGGUUAAUAUUCCCGUACUUGGUGUUACUGCGAAGGGGGGACGGAGAAGGCUAUGUUGGCCGGGCGACGGUUGUCCCGGUUUAAGCGUGUAGGUGUGUGUUCCGGUGUAAAUCCGGUUCACUUUAACACUGAGGCGUGACGACGAGGCACUACGGUGCUGAAGCAACAAAUGCCCUGCUUCCGGGGAAAAGCCUCUAAGCAUCAGGUAACAUCAAAUCGUACCCCAAACCGACACAGGUGGUCAGGUAGAGAAUACCAAGGCGCUUGAGAGAACUCGGGUGAAGGAACUAGGCAAAAUGGUGCCGUAACUUCGGGAGAAGGCACGCUGACACGUAGGUGAAGUGAUUUACUCAUGGAGCUGAAGUCAGUCGAAGAUACCAGCUGGCUGCAACUGUUUAUUAAAAACACAGCACUGUGCAAACACGAAAGUGGACGUAUACGGUGUGACGCCUGCCCGGUGCCGGAAGGUUAAUUGAUGGGGUCAGCGCAAGCGAAGCUCCUGAUCGAAGCCCCGGUAAACGGCGGCCGUAACUAUAACGGUCCUAAGGUAGCGAAAUUCCUUGUCGGGUAAGUUCCGACCUGCACGAAUGGCGUAAUGAUGGCCGGGCUGUCUCCACCCGAGACUCAGUGAAAUUGAACUCGCUGUGAAGAUGCAGUGUACCCGCGGCAAGACGGAAAGACCCCGUGAACCUUUACUAUAGCUUGACACUGAACAUUGAGCCUUGAUGUGUAGGAUAGGUGGGAGGCUUUGAAGUGUGGACGCCAGUCUGCAUGGAGCCGACCUUGAAAUACCACCCUUUAAUGUUUGAUGUUCUAACGUGGACCCGUAAUCCGGGUUGCGGACAGUGUCUGGUGGGUAGUUUGACUGGGGCGGUCUCCUCCUAAAGAGUAACGGAGGAGCACGAAGGUUGGCUAAUCCUGGUCGGACAUCAGGAGGUUAGUGCAAUGGCAUAAGCCAGCUUGACUGCGAGCGUGACGGCGCGAGCAGGUGCGAAAGCAGGUCAUAGUGAUCCGGUGGUUCUGAAUGGAAGGGCCAUCGCUCAACGGAUAAAAGGUACUCCGGGGAUAACAGGCUGAUACCGCCCAAGAGUUCAUAUCGACGGCGGUGUUUGGCACCUCGAUGUCGGCUCAUCACAUCCUGGGGCUGAAGUAGGUCCCAAGGGUAUGGCUGUUCGCCAUUUAAAGUGGUACGCGAGCUGGGUUUAGAACGUCGUGAGACAGUUCGGUCCCUAUCUGCCGUGGGCGCUGGAGAACUGAGGGGGGCUGCUCCUAGUACGAGAGGACCGGAGUGGACGCAUCACUGGUGUUCGGGUUGUCAUGCCAAUGGCACUGCCCGGUAGCUAAAUGCGGAAGAGAUAAGUGCUGAAAGCAUCUAAGCACGAAACUUGCCCCGAGAUGAGUUCUCCCUGAGACUUAGAGUCUCCUGAAGGAACGUUGAAGACGACGACGUUGAUAGGCCGGGUGUGUAAGCGCAGCGAUGCGUUGAGCUAACCGGUACUAAUGAACCGUGAGGCUUAACCUUACAACGCCGAAG